AGUAUAUAAAGAAAUUAUUAUGGAUUAUAAGCAAUAUAUCACAAGAGAGAACAACUAUUUAUUUAAUUUGUGUUUAGUAGUACACAUGAACUCUUAGAGAAAUUAAGUAAAAAACGAAGUGAAAAGAAGGCUCUUAGUAACUUUAGGAAAAUAAAUCAAAGGAGAUUCUAUUAUUAGUGUGAAUGAAAAUAGAAAAGCCUAUAAAUAAAUAAGUAAAAUGGAUAUUAAUCUGUUUGAAUUAUAAAGGGGAACCUUCCUCUAAGGCUAAAUAUGAUAUAUUAGCGAUAGUGAAUAGUACCGAGAGGGAAUAAUAUGAAAUAGUAAUUUUAUAAGCAGCUCGAAAACAAAUUUAAAUAAAUAAUAAGAGCGUACCUUUUGCAUAAUGGGUGAAUUGCUUGCCCGUGAGAAUUGUAAAAUUCUUGAAAAACUGACUCAUGACCUGUGAAGGUCGGUGUGAUGAUUAAUAAUUUAGUUGUCUCGCUAACGGUAGAGUUCUAAGGAUAUACAAAUAUCUAUGGCAAUACCGUGGGAAGCUGAUAAAUUAAAGGAAUAAGUCUAUAAUUGGUUUUCUUUGAUUAGACUCAGAGUAUUAAACACUCUUUUUUAUUUAGCCCUGUAACGACUGAUUUCGAAAGAUGAGACCGAUAUGAUCGGUAACACGUCAGCACUCAAGUAUUCCAUAGAACUAUGGUAAAUAAUUUCUUACAAAAACUGUAUACAUUGGCGUAGACUAACCCUAGUGGUUAUAAUAACACUCUUGAAAUCUAAUUAAAAAAUGUAAAAAAUUAAAUGAAAAAUCCUUUAUUUUGAUUUAUAAUGGAGCAAAAUUCUAUCCUAGUUUAAUAUUUGAUAUAAUAGCUAUGCCUUUUUUUUUUAACAAAAUUCUUCUAUUUACCGCGACAAAAUGAAAAAUAUGAAAUUUGAAAUGUGUAAUUUUUUAGGUAAGGGCGGAAGUUUAUUUUUCGCAAGACUCUACAGAAUUUCAGCUAAAACUCACCUGACUCUACCUUUUAAUUUACAUGAAAUAAUCAUCGGCUCUAUCUUAGGAGAUCUAUCAGCUGAAAAACCAAAUAAAAAUUGUAACACAAGAUUACAAUUUAAACAAUCUAUAAUAAAUAAAGAAUAUAUUUAUCAUUUGUACCAAUUAUUCGAAGAAUUAUGUAAUAGACCACCUCUAGUUAUGUCUAGAUUUUACGAUAGACCAAACAAACAGAAAGAAUAUAGUGCUAUAAAAUUUCAGACAGCAAGUAGUUUAAAUAUUUAUAGAGAAUUAUUCUAUAAUUCAGAGGGUAAAAAGAUUUUACCUUUAAAUCUAGAAGAGUUAUUAACUGCAAAGGGAUUAGCUUAUUGACUCAUGGAUGAUAGCUACAAAUCUGGAAAAGGGAUAUAUAUUUGUACAGAAUCUUUCUCUUUAAGUGAAAUUGAUUUCUUAGUUAAUAUCUUAAAAAGUAAAUUCGAUCUACAAUGUAGCCCGCAUAAAGUAACUAAUGGAUACAGAAUUUAUAUCUGAAGUACAUCUAAAGACAAAUUAAUUAGUCUGGUUAAACCUUAUUUCUUAAAACAUUUUUAUUAGAUUUGGAUAAAGAUAGCUAAUUUACUCCUUCCUUUUUUGCUUUCUCUCCUUUCUCGACAUUCAAUAGGGUUUAAAAAACAAAAUAAACCUAACCCUAAUCUAAAUCAAAGGACAAGCAAAUUUCGUCGGUGGUGGCUAAAAUUUUUGUACAAAAAAGUGUUUUAAUCUACUGCCUCCUUUUUCUUAAAUGAAAGAAAAAGAAAUAAAGUAAGAAUAUUUACCUAAAGUUUUUUUUGAGUUGAAGGUAUAGUCUAAUCCAGUAUGAAAAUCCUGGUAUAAAUGCAGCAAGUUAAUAUUAGAUGUAAGCAGUAUUGCCCAGAUAAAACGAUUAUAAUAUAUAUGACAAAAUAUCUAAAAUUAGACCCGAAACCUAGUGAUCUUACCAUAAUCAGAAUUAUAAAAGUUCGAACGGGUUAUCGUUGUAAAGAUAUCCGAUGAAUUGUGGUAAGUUGGUGAAAGACAAAACUGACUAGGAUAGCUGGUUUUCCGCGAAACCUAUCUAAGUAGGCCAUUUAAAUAACAUCAUUGCAGGUACAGAAAUUUUUAGAUCUCAUUAAAAACUGACGUUAACUUCUUAUUAUUAAGUAUAUGAAGUAUUCGGGGAAUCGUGAAGAUUUUACUGGUGAGAAAUUAAUCUAGGAAUGGUAAUGAUGAAUGUUGAAUUAUCAGACAUAGAAUAGAGUCUAGGCAACUCUAUAUUGUGUAAAAGAGUCAAACUCCGGGGAAGCCCUAAAACUCUAGUAACCAAGAUCUCAAGGAAACUUGGAGAUUGGCCCGAUUAAUGCCUCGGGGUACGGUAAUAUCACUAGAGAUGAUAGAAAUUGAAAUGGGUUAUCGUGGAUCUAAAUCAGAUAAAAUCUGUAAAAGAGCAACGAGUAGACGGCUCUUCAGCAUUUUCUAAAAAAAACGGAUGCUGUAAGGUGUACUCUAGUCUCCAGGAAACUGGUUUUUGAGAUAAAGUAAAACUGUUUUUUUAAUAAAAAGGUAAAUAUUGAGUAUAGAGGGAGAGCUUUAUUGGAAAAUAUCAAACUUUAUUUUAAUGGUGCUGGUGGUUUAGAUAAACACGGGGAAUUAUCGGUUAAGUAUCGGGUAUCAUCAAUAAAAGAUAUUUCAUUAAUUUUAAAUCAUUUUGAUAAAUAUCCAUUGAUUACUCAAAAACGAGCUGAUUACUUAUUAUUUAAAAAAGCUUUCGAAAUAAUUCAACGUAAAGAACAUCGUACUCUUGAAGGUUUACAUAAAAUUUUAAGCAUUAAAGCUGUUAUGAAUUUAGGUCUUUCAGAUUCUUUAAAGGAAGCUUUUCCGAAUAUUAUUCCUAUGAAAAGGCCAAAAAUUGAAAAUCAAAUAAUCUCAGAUUCUAACUGACUAGUUGGGUUUGUGGAAGGUGAGGGGUGUUUUUAUAUUGAUAUUUCAGAGACUUCUGGUAAAGUAGGAGCUCGAGUCCAAUUAAAAUUUAAAAUAACUCAACAUAGCCGUGAUGCCUUAUUAAUGGAAAGUUUAGUUAAAUAUUUAGAUUGUGGAAAGAUUUACAAAAAAUCCUCCGUAGAUGUGAUAGAUUAUGAAGUAAAAAAAUUAUCUGAUAUAACUGAAAAGGUUAUUCCAUUCUUUAAAAAAUAUCCUUUACAAGGUUCUAAGAAGCUAAAUUUUGAUAAUUUUUGUACAGUAGCAUCUUUGGUUGAAUCUGGAGCACAUUUAACUAAAUCUGGCUUAGAAGAGAUACGAAAAAUAAAGUCAGGAAUGAAUACUCAAAGAAAACCUUAAAAAAAUAGGUAAAAAAUAACUCAAAAUUAAAGGUACCAUAAUAGCCUUGCCCUAAUUUAUAGUAAUUAGGCUAAAGUUUGUGGAACGAGAAUGCUAAGGUUGUAUGUCAAAAGGGAAACAGCCCACAACAAGUGUUAUAAUAAGGUUCCAAAAUUAUUAUUAAGUGAAAUCAAGGAAGUCUUUUGAUUUUAAUUCGAUCAGGAAAUAGGCUUAGAAGCAGCCAUUUUUUUGAAGACCUCGUAACAGAGCACUGGUUAACAAUGUAAAAAGGCAUUGAAAAUUUAACGGAUCUAAAAUAAUAUACCGAAACCUUGUCUAUAGUUAUAAAUAUUUAUAUUGUAUAACUAUAGGGUAGCGGAACGUAGGGGAUAUAAAAGAAUUUGUUCUUUUUAAGAAAAAAUAAUAUAACUCUAGUGAUAAUGCUGACAUGAGUAACGAUAAAGGCCAAUCUAUAGGUUGACCUCGCCUUAAGCUUAUGGUAUAGAUAAAAGUAACGGCCUCUAAGUUUAUUAACCUAAAGGACUAAACGAUGAGAAAACCUUGUUUAUAAAGUAAUAACCUUUAAAUUUUUAAACAUUCUGGGGUCGCACGCCCUCACUCUCUUUAGGAGUGAGUGAGCGCGCCCCAAUAUCUGAUGUAAAUAAUAAGUGAUGAAGAGUUCAGGAAAAACGAUAAACACUUAACCGUACCUAAAUACCAGCUCAGGUAAGCAAGUAGAGAAUACGAAGGCGUUUGAGUGAACAAUUCAUAAAGGAACUCGGCAAAAUAGCUCCGUAACUUAGGGAUAAGGAGUACAGUUCAUUAC
rnacentral:rRNA from 1 species